rnacentral:rRNA from 1 species
AACGAACGCUGGCGGCAUGCCUAACACAUGCAAGUCGAACGAGACCUUCGGGUCUAGUGGCGCACGGGUGCGUAACGCGUGGGAAUCUGCCCUUGGGUUCGGAAUAACAGCGAGAAAUUGCUGCUAAUACCGGAUGAUGACGUAAGUCCAAAGAUUUAUCGCCCAAGGAUGAGCCCGCGUAGGAUUAGCUAGUUGGUGAGGUAAAAGGCUCACCAAGGGCGACGAUCCUUAGCUGGUCUGAGAGGAUGAUCAGCCACACUGGGACUGAGACACGGCCCCAGACUCCUACGGGAGGCAGCAGUGGGGAAUAUUGGACAAUGGGCGAAAGCCUGAUCCAGCAAUGCCGCGUGAGUGAUGAAGGCCUUAGGGGUUGUAAAAGGCUCUUUUUACCCCGGGGAUGAUAAAUGACAGUACC